AUAGUUACCGAGAUCAGGGUGAUCACGAAUGCCCUUACCCCAGGUGAAGGCUCGCCUUUGCACUUCGGCGUGUUGAAGCCUGCGAAGAUCUUUAAUCAGGCUCACUCGAAGGCGUAGUUUUUGCUAGUGGGUGGUCUUCGGACCGUCCCUU
rnacentral:snRNA from 1 species